UACGAAGGGGGCGAGCGUUGUUCGGAAUUACUGGGCGUAAAGGGCGCGCAGGCGGCCUUAGAAGUCAGAUGUGAAAGCCCCGGGCUCAACCUGGGAAUGGCAUUUGAUACUCUGAGGCUGGAGUACGGGAGAGGAGAGUGGAAUUCCCAGUGUAGAGGUGAAAUUCGUAGAUAUUGGGAAGAACACCGGUGGCGAAGGCGGCUGCUCUGGACCGUAACUGACGCUGAGGCGCGAAAGCGUGGGGAGCAAACAGG
rnacentral:rRNA from 1 species